UCGAGAAUUUUUCACAAUGGGGGCAACCCUGAUGGAGCGACGCCGCGUGGAGGAUGAAGGUCUUCGGAUUGUAAACUCCUGUCACUACAGAACAAGGAUACAGAUGCUAAUCAGUUUGUAUUUGAUGGUAUGUGGAGAGGAAGGGACGGCUAACUCUGUGCCAGCAGCCGCGGUGAUACAGAGGUCCCAAGCGUUGUUCGGAUUCACUGGGCGUAAAGGGUGCGUAGGGGGUUGAGAAAGUUGGGCGUGAAAUCUCUCUGCUUAACAGAGAAACUGCGUUCAAAACUACUUGACUAGAGGAUCAGAGAGGAAAACGGAAUUCUUGGUGUAGCGGUGAAAUGCGUAGAUAUCAAGAGGAACGCCGAUGGCGAAAGCAGUUUUCUGGAAGAUUCCUGACCCUGAGGCACGAAGGCUAGGGUAGCAAACA
rnacentral:rRNA from 1 species